AAAUCUCUUUGGACUUAUCUGUCACUUCUCAACUUUGUGUGGAAGGGUACCAGGAGGUGUGCAUCAAUAGGGCAGCUGUGUUUAGGGCACCUUUUGUCAACAUUUGUGACAGGCUAUCAAAAAGAAAAUACUGUAUUUGCUCUAUGACCUGGUAAGUAUGGCCACGCAGCUGUGUGUUUUCGGGAUGUGAUAUCAACCAGUUCAACCAGUGAACCAACCAGGCUUGAGAAAAUAUUUCAUUGUCAUAGCCACAGACAUAGUGGGAA
rnacentral:lncRNA from 1 species